GAUGAAGAACGUAGCGAAAUGCGACAAGUAAUGUGAAUUGCAGAAUUCAGUGAAUCAUCGAAUCUUUGAACGCACAUUGCGCCCAUUAGUAUUCUAGUGGGCAUGCCUGUUCGAGCGUCAUUUCAACCCUUAAGCUUAGCUUAGUGUUGGGAGACUGCCUAACCGCAGCUCCUCAAAUUCAGUUGGCAGAGUGUAGGUGUGCUCUGAGCGUAGUAAUUCUUUAUCUCGCUUCUGAAAGCCUUAUACUGUCGCCACAAACCUAUUAUCUUUUUAAUGGUUGACCUCGGAUCAGGUAGGAAUACCCGCUGAACUUAAGCAUAUCAAUAAGCGGAGGA
rnacentral:misc_RNA from 1 species